GAUGAACGCUAGCUACAGGCUUAACACAUGCAAGUCGAACGGAGUUUGAGAGAGCUUGCUUUUUUCAAACUUAGUGGCGAACGGGUGAGUAACGCGUGAGUAACCUGCCCUGGAGUGGGGGACAACAGUUGGAAACGACUGCUAAUACCGCAUAAGCCCACGGCCCGGCAUCGGGUUGAGGGAAAAGGAUUUAUUCGCUUCAGGAUGGACUCGCGUCCAAUUAGCUAGUUGGUGAGGUAACGGCCCACCAAGGCGACGAUUGGUAGCCGGACUGAGAGGUUGAACGGCCACAUUGGGACUGAGACACGGCCCAG
rnacentral:rRNA from 1 species